AGUCCUGUGGUGUACCCAUAUCGGAUUGCAAACCCGAAGACGCGGUUUAUCCCGCCAGGAUUU
rnacentral:tRNA from 1 species